GACUGUUAAAAUGUCACUUUUAUUUUAGCACACCUGAGUUAAGUGUGGGACAGUGAAACAAAUACAACAGGAUAUAUACAGCAUGUCAAGGAGGCAGGCUUUAAAACCAUGCUAUAGAAAAGAGAAGACUGGGAGGACGCCCGAUUUAAGCAGCUUUGGAUCCUGAUUAAUGGAUAUGCAAAUAUAGUAUUCUCCAGUGGAUUUGGCAAAGAUUUUGUUUUUCAUUUCCAGUCUUUUAAAGUAGACAGCUGAUUUUCAGAGCACAUAAGAUUUAAAUACAAACAAGAGAAUUCAGCAGAGUGAUAAAGGUGCCUGCAACAAAACUGACCACCCAAGGUAAUGAUGGAAGGAAAACCUUCAGAAAGUCUGCUGAGAAAAUUCCCCCUUUCUUCAUAACGCUUGUGUUUCUCAUGCUGAGAGUAGCUGUGCGCUUCGGGUUGAAAACGGACUUACUUGGGGGGAAUAUUUUCUGGUCGACUUGACCAAUCCCAUAUCCAAUCUGAGUUUUUCUUCAGGAUA
rnacentral:lncRNA from 1 species